UUAGAGUUUGAUCCUGGCUCAGGACGAACGCUGGCGGCGUGCUUAACACAUGCAAGUCACGGGGGCCCGCAAGGGCAACCGGCGAACGGGUGCGUAACACGUGAGCAAGCUUCCGAUUAGUGGGGGAUAGCCGGCCUAACGGCCGGGUAAUACCGCAUACGUUCACCGGACGGCAUCGUCUGGUGAGGAAACCUCCGGGGCUAAUCGAGGCGCUCGCGGCCUAUCAGCUAGUUGGCGGGGUAACGGCCCACCAAGGCUAUGACGGGUAGCUGGUCUGAGAGGAUGGCCAGCCACAUUGGGACUGCGACACGGCCCAGACUCCUACGGGAGGCAGCAGUGGGGAAUAUUGCGCAAUGGACGAAAGUCUGACGCAGCGACGCCGCGUGUAGGAUGAAGCCUUUCGGGGUGUAAACUACUGUUGCCCGGGACGAAACCCUCCUUUCGAGGAGAUUGACGGUACCGGGUGAGGAAGCACCGGCUAACUCUGUGCCAGCAGCCGCGGUAAUACAGAGGGUGCGAGCGUUGUCCGGAAUCACUGGGCGUAAAGGGUGCGUAGGUGGCUUGGUAAGCGUGUGGUGAAAGUCCGGGGCUCAACCCCGGAUCUGCCGUGCGAACUGCUAGGCUUGAGCUAUGUAGAGGCAGGUGGAAUUUCGGGUGUAGCGGUGGAAUGCGUAGAGAUCCGAAAGAACACCAGUGGCGAAGGCGGCCUGCUGGGCAUAUGCUGACACUGAGGCACGACAGCGUGGGGAGCAAACAGGAUUAGAUACCCUGGUAGUCCACGCCGUAAACGAUGGGUACUAGGUGUCUGGGGGAGCGACCCCCUGGGUGCCGGCGCUAACGCAUGAAGUACCCCGCCUGGGGAGUACGGCCGCAAGGCUGAAACUCAAAGGAAUUGACGGGGGCCCGCACAAGCGGUGGAGCAUGUGGUUUAAUUCGACGCAACGCGAAGAACCUUACCUAGGCUUGACAUGCUGGAGAAAGCUUCUGGAAACAGGAGCCCCUCUUCGGAGUUCCAGCACAGAUGCUGCAUGGCUGUCGUCAGCUCGUGUCGUGAGAUGUUGGGUUAAGUCCCGCAACGAGCGCAACCCUCACCCUUAGUUACCAGCGGGUAAAGCCGGGGACUCUAGGGGGACUGCCGGUGCCAAACCGGAGGAAGGUGGGGAUGACGUCAAGUCAUCAUGGCUCUUACGUCUAGGGCUACACACGUGCUACAAUGGACCGGACAGAGGGCUGCUAACUCGCGAGAGUAUGCCAAUCCCCAAACCGGUCCUCAGUUCGGAUUGUAGUCUGCAACUCGACUACAUGAAGCUGGAAUCGCUAGUAAUCGUGGAUCAGCUACGCCACGGUGAAUACGUUCCCGGGCCUUGUACACACCGCCCGUCACACCAUGGGAGCGGGUUCCGCCAGAAGUAGGUAGCCUAACCGCAAGGAGGGCGCUUACCACGGCGGGGUUCGUGACUGGGGUGAAGUCGUAACAAGGUAACCA
rnacentral:rRNA from 1 species